rnacentral:tRNA from 10 species
GGUUCCGUAGCUCAGCAGGAUAGAGCAUCAGAUUCCUAAUCUGAGGGUCACGCGUUCGAAUCGCGUCGGAAUCACCA